AGUGAACGCUGGCGGUAGGCCUAACACAUGCAAGUCGAACGGCAGCACAGUAAGAGCUUGCUCUUACGGGUGGCGAGUGGCGGACGGGUGAGGAAUACAUCGGAAUCUACUUUUUCGUGGGGGAUAACGUAGGGAAACUUACGCUAAUACCGCAUACGACCUACGGGUGAAAGCAGGGGAUCUUCGGACCUUGCGCGAUUGAAUGAGCCGAUGUCGGAUUAGCUAGUUGGCGGGGUAAAGGCCCACCAAGGCGACGAUCCGUAGCUGGUCUGAGAGGAUGAUCGGCCACACUGGAACUGAGACACGGUCCAGACUCCUAAGGGAGGCAGCAGUGGGGAAUAUUGGACAAUGGGCGCAAGCCUGAUCCAGCCAUACCGCGUGGGUGAAGAAGGCCUUCGGGUUGUAAAGCCCUUUUGUUGGGAAAGAAAAGCAGCAGGUUAAUACCCAGCUGUUCUGACGGUACCCAAAGAAUAAGCACCGGCUAACUUCGUG
rnacentral:rRNA from 1 species